GAUGAAGAACGUAGCGAAAUGCGAUACGUAAUGUGAAUUGCAGAAUUCAGUGAAUCAUCGAAUCUUUGAACGCACAUUGCGCCUGCCAGCACUCUGGCAGGCAUGCCUGUUCGAGCGUCAUUUCAACCAUCAAGCCCUAAGCUUGCGUUGGAGCCCUGCGGCUGCCGCAGGCCCCUAAAAGCAGUGGCGGGCUCGCUAUCACACCGAGUGCAGUAGAUUACUCUUCGCUCAGGGCGUGUGGCGGGUUCCAGCCGUGAAACCCCUACUUCUCAAGGUUGACCUCGGAUCAGGUAGGAAUACCCGCUGAACUUAAGCAUAUCAAUAAGCGGAGGA
rnacentral:misc_RNA from 1 species